rnacentral:rRNA from 1 species
AUUGAACGCUGGCGGCAUGCCUUACACAUGCAAGUCGAACGGCAGCACGGGAGCAAUCCUGGUGGCGAGUGGCGAACGGGUGAGUAAUGUAUCGGAACGUGCCCAGUCGUGGGGGAUAACGUAGCGAAAGCUACGCUAAUACCGCAUACGAUCUAUGGAUGAAAGCGGGGGACCGUAAGGCCUCGCGCGAUUGGAGCGGCCGAUAUCAGAUUAGGUAGUUGGUGGGGUAAAGGCCUACCAAGCCGACGAUCUGUAGCUGGUCUGAGAGGACGACCAGCCACACUGGGACUGAGACACGGCCCAGACUCCUACGGGAGGCAGCAGUGGGGAAUUUUGGACAAUGGGCGCAAGCCUGAUCCAGCAAUGCCGCGUGCAGGAUGAAGGCCUUCGGGUUGUAAACUGCUUUUGUACGGAGCGAAAAGGCUCUCUCUAAUACAGGGGGCUCAUGACGGUACCGUAAGAAUAAGCACCGGCUAACUACGUGCCAGCCGCCGCGGUAA